AUUGAACGCUGGCGGCAGGCCUAACACAUGCAAGUCGAGCGGAUGAAGGGAGCUUGCUCCUGGAUUCAGCGGCGGACGGGUGAGUAAUGCCUAGGAAUCUGCCUGGUAGUGGGGGAUAACGUCCGGAAACGGGCGCUAAUACCGCAUACGUCCUGAGGGAGAAAGUUGGGGAUCUUCGGACCUCACGCUAUCAGAUGAGCCUAGGUCGGAUUAGCUAGUUGGUGGGGUAAAGGCCUACCAAGGCGACGAUCCGUAACUGGUCUGAGAGGAUGAUCAGUCACACUGGAACUGAGACACGGUCCAGGCUCCUACGGGAGGCAGCAGUGGGGAAUAUUGGACAAUGGGCGAAAGCCUGAUCCAGCCAUGCCGCGUGUGUGAAGAAGGUCUUCGGAUUGUAAAGCACUUUAAGUUGGGAGGAAGGGCAGUAAGUUAAUACCUUGCUGUUUUGACGUUACCAACAGAAUAAGCACCGGCUAACUUCGUG
rnacentral:rRNA from 1 species